UACAGAGGUCUCAAGCGUUGUUCGGAUUUAUUGGGCGUAAAGGGUGCGUAGGUGGCGUGGUAAGUCGGAUGUGAAAGCUCGGAGCUCAACUCCGAAAUGGCAUUGGAAACUACCUUGCUCGAGGGUUGGAGGGGGGACUGGAAUUCUCGGUGUAGCAGUGAAAUGCGUAGAUAUCGAGAGGAACACCAGUGGCGAAGGCGAGUCCCUGGACAACUCCUGACACUGAGGCACGAAAGCUAGGGGAGCAAACAGG
rnacentral:rRNA from 1 species